AUGUGUAUUUAGAUUUAUUUAUAUAUAUUUAUAUAUUUUAUUUAUAUAUAUAAAAUUUAUAUAUAUUUUAUAUUUAUUUAUAUUAUAUUUAUUUAUUUAUAUAUAUAUCAGGCAUGAGAAUCCCUCACCUUUCGGCGAAAUUCGCCGUUUUGAAACCAAAAUAGGUGACUUACGUGAAUCGUGUAGAUCCGAAGAGUUUUUGUUUGGGGGGGGGGUCAAUUGGCCGGCCGGCGUUUAUGAGAUUGGAGUGGGACACGGAGAAAAUGUGGAGUGGUGCUCUUCGCAAUAAAACAUCUUUGAUGGGACGUGUUGCGUCUCGGCCAAUCAGCGUCAAGAUGUCUUCAGCGUUUGGAGGUUUAGGUUAGCUUGAAUGUUCGCCCGCUAUCUGCUGCUGUCGCGCUGCACGGUGGAGCGAUGCUAACAAAGUACCGUACGUUAAACACGAUGUGAUUUAGCAUAGUUUUAGUCUCAAUACUUCAUUAAAAGAGCGAUCAGAGCCGCGCUGCUCCGUGUCGAGCUGUUUGCACGCGCAGCGCAGCGCUAACAGAGAGGGGCGUUAAGUGGCGGAAUUUUCGGCUUUAAAAAUAAAAAUAAAAAAAGAUGCCAGAAGUGAAAUGUUUAAGUUCAGUCUGUAAAGUUCUGUAACUCUCCAGCUGCUCAUCCUGAUGAACUCUGGAUCCUCUGGUCAGAGACUAACGGCCUCAUAGUGUAUAAUCAAUGCUAUGAUGGCUCCAUGUAGUUUCAUUCAUAUCUUGCUGUAUUAAUACUAAUAUUACUGCCAUUUGUUAAGUUGAAAAAGUUGGUAAAAAGUAAACCAUACAGAUAUUUUAUUUAUUACUAUUAUAGAUAAAUAUACCAGUAUCGUAUUUAUGGUAUACUGUUUUUAUGGUAUUGUAUCAUGAUAUUUAUGGCAGGUAUGGUAUAGAAGACAACCAGGUAGAGGCAGAACAGACUCGAGGAACAGACUCAUGGCUCAGCAGAGCACAAGACUUGAAGACUUGUUCACGCCAACAACAACAAAAGGAAGUUGGUUCAUGAAUGACCAUAUUAUUAGUGCUGUGAAAAAUAACGCGUUAACGCGUUAUGAUUAAAUUACAGGAUUAAUUAGUUUAAUUUUUUUACCGCAUUUAGCGCAUGCGCAAAAUGAGCUUCCAAUCCACCACUUCAACCUGAACUCUGUCCGCUCUCAUGCAGACGGUCUGUUCAUCGGUAAUGAUCUUUCCGCAGGUUCACCUCCGGAAACCUUGUUACGACUUUUACUUCCUGUAGAUCAGGGUCUCAACACGUCGAUCGCGACCUGCCAGUCGAUCGCGGCGUAGUGUCGGUAGAUCGCAUGACAUUAAAGAGAUUGGCCCGCCCCCUGACAUGUUCUCUAGAGCACGUCUUUGUUCUUUUAUUAAACUAAACGUCUGUUGUUGAUCGUAUCUCCACAGCAGCAUGUCAUUUCUGUCUCUUCGCGUUGCGUUAACACUUAUCGAUCUCCGUCUCGCGCCACAGAGCUCCGUGCGCGCGCAUCGGGACCGAGCAAAACAAAAGUCACUUGUCAAUCUGUCCACCUGUCCGGGCCGGUGAGGUUUCAGCUUUGCAGCGGUGUCCCCGCCGUCCCUUUCAUCACGGCCCAGUUCAUGAAGAAAACCCACACAGUCAGUUUGCCUCAGCAGCUGCUAGAGGAAGACUAGAGGCCUUUAGAUUGUAUCAUGGUGGAGUUAAUGGUUGACAAACAAGAGAAACAUGUUCUGUUUAACCCUCCUGUUACCUUUACAUUUACUAACAUAUUUUACCCUCGGGGUCAAUUUGACCCCAGCAAUUAAAACCUCCAGAAAAUUAUUAGAAUUAAUAUUGCUUCCCAAGUUUAAGUGUGAGGUACUUUAUGUUUGUUUGUUGACUACCUAAAUAGCCCUUUAAAUAAAUAAAAAAGUUGAUAUUUCUGAUAUGUUUGACACAGUGAAAAACAGCCUGGGGUCAAAUUGACCCCAAAGAACACCGACAUUAAACAUUGAAUGGGGUCAAAUUGACCCGAAAGGUAACAGGAGGGUUAAACAUUCUGUUUAGGAUGAAGAUGUAUUAAUGUUCCAUAUGGAAGAAAACUGCUAAAUAACUGCUGAGUUGCAGCACCAUUGUAUAGAAGAAUGUAUAAAUGUAUAUAUCCGUCUUUUGUCAUAAAUCUCUGUUCUCACAAAAUAUACCGAGAAUAUCGGUAAUAUGUGAUUAAUCAUGAUUAAUCCACAGAAACCUGUGAUUAACCUGAUUACAAAUUUUCAUCGUUUCACAGCCCUACAUAUUAUACACUAUUACUAUUAUUAUAGUAUUAUAGGCCCGAUCACUGACUUGGUGUCAGAAUGGAGGACCUAUAGAUUAUCAUACAACGUUCAACAUCGAUGUUCGUGGAAGUCACCACCAGCACCCCCCCCCCCCCCUCACCUUUUUCACCCCUGACCCGUUUUCAUGCCUGAUAUAUAUACAGGGUGUCCGCGGGUCCUUAAAAAGUCUUAAAUUGCUUUUCCUAAAAAUAAGGCCUUAAAAAGUCUUAAAUUCAGAUUGGAUUGGUCUUAAAAUUUUUGGGUGUCAUGUCAUUACGAAUAUGAGGCAUUGUGUUCCGCCAGGUCCGUAUUUUGCUCCGGUUACUCUGCGGCGUCUCUGGUGUCACCGGGGCCACGCCCCUUCUCUUAAAGGGGCCCCGCGUAUUCGGUCCCAUCCCCGACAACGUGAAGCAUCGACUACUUUAGAAAACAUGGCAGGAUGCAAGUUCAACAACGGCUUGAAAAGAACGUGUGUUUCUGGUCACGGUCGGUGAAAUGCUUCUGAAGCUGCGUUAUGUGUCGGGAGACUUUCCAGCGGUGGAAUCUCACGAGCAGAGCAAGAAGCACAGAGACUAGCGAAGGCCGCCAGCAGCGCGCGGGGCUAGCUCCUGCUCCGCCGCCCGCAACAACCUCAACGCUACAACGAUGGAGGUCACCGGAGGAAAUCCAGCGCCGUGCAACAAAGAGCUCAUCACCGAAGACCAACGCUGCAGUGCGUUCUUCAUUCUGUUCCACGAGACUCUGGACCAGACCACCGCGAGCAGACAGCUGGACUUCAUGUGCUAUUGGUGAAAUGACCACGUCCAGUCAGGAUCCUCUGGAGCUCAUGGGCCAUGACACCAGGACCUACUUCAGCAUCUCAAAGAGAAUGGACCAAAUGUCAACUGGAAGUUUUUAUAUUAAUAGAUACAGUUUGAAAAGGAUUGUUUUCCUCGUAUAUUCACAAAAGCUCAGGAGUAGACAUGAACCUGUGCACAAACAUCCAUCACAUAGAGACAUAAGAACUCACACACACACACACACACACAUACAUUCUAUUAUGUAAAUGAAUUUGCAUUUUAAAAGCAGCUGGAAUUGUUAUUUAUGUUAUUUUAUAGAUUUUUUUGUUCAAAAGGAACUAUGUUGCCCGUAUUUUUAAAAUAUAUUUACUUGAUGUUAUAAGCAUUUGUUCAUGGGACUUAAAUGUUCUGAACAUGUAUUAAUAAAUAUAAUUUACAACAGCAA